rnacentral:snRNA from 1 species
UUUCUCCAACAGCCCAGGAGAUAAAGUGAUCAGGAAGGUGAUUUUUUUCCCACGAUGGGGCACUUCUCUUGUAUCCUGGGCAUACUCCGAUGCUGCAGUUUUCCCAGAUGCAGGAAACUGGCUGCAUAAUUUCUGAUAGUGAGAAACUGUAUUCAUUCUCUCUCUUG